CAGUCGCCGCGGUAAUACGAAGGGGGCUAGCGUUGUUCGGAUUUACUGGGCGUAAAGCGCACGUAGGCGGACUUUUAAGUCAGGGGUGAAAUCCCGGGGCUCAACCCCGGAACUGCCUUUGAUACUGAAAGUCUUGAGUAUGGUAGAGGUGAGUGGAAUUCCGAGUGUAGAGGUGAAAUUCGUAGAUAUUCGGAGGAACACCAGUGGCGAAGGCGGCUAACUGGACCAUUACUGACGCUGAGGUGCGAAAGCGUGGGGAGCAAACAGGAUUAGAUACCCCAGUAGUCCCUGUCUCUUAUAA
rnacentral:rRNA from 1 species